ACUCCUACGGGAGGCAGCAGUGGGGAAUAUUGCACAAUGGGGGAAACCCCUGAUGCAGCCAUGCCGCGUGUGUGAAGAAGGCCUUCGGGUUGUAAAGCACUUUCAGUAGGGAGGAAGGUAGUGUAGUUAACACCUGCACUAUUUGACGUUACCUACAGAAGAAGCACCGGCUAACUCCGUGCCAGCAGCCGCGGUAAUACGGAGGGUGCGAGCGUUAAUCGGAAUUACUGGGCGUAAAGCGCAUGCAGGCGGCCUGUUAAGUCAGAUGUGAAAGCCCGGGGCUUAACCUCGGAAUUGCAUUUGAAACUGGCAGGCUAGAGUCUUGUAGAGGGGGUUAGAAUUUCAGGGUGUAGCGGUGAAAUGCGUAGAGAUCGUGAAGGAAUACCCGAGUGGGCGAAACGGCGGCCCCCCGUGGGACCAAAGGACUGACGCUCAGAUGCGAAAGCGU
rnacentral:rRNA from 1 species